AAAUGUUCAAGAAAAAGUUGUCCACAUCAUAAACUCACCACUGCAACAAAGAGUCCAUAAAGUUUUUCGAAAGAAUUUUUUGGAAUGUCGUGUCGUAUAUUAAUGGGUAACGUCUCUCCUUAAACGUACAGCGCCAGGCUAGCCCCAGAAUUCCUUUGUACGUCAAAUACACAGAGAGAAUCAGUGGCCACGGAAGUGUGGGGACAGAGGUUAUUUUAUGGCUACGAAUUUCCAACUCGAUCAGGUUCACAUUAUUACAAACAAAAUAUUGUAUAACUUGGAAAUUUCGAAAUAAUCAGUCCAAAAUUCUGGGUAAGUCGAAAUUUGCUGGUGAUUCCAGAGUGUCACCAGUGGCCGCGGAAGCGUGAGGAGAGAGGGAUAAUGUCCCCACAGUUGUUCGAUGUCCGCAUCAUCCGCCCAUGUUAUAUAAAAUCCGUCCCUCCCCUAUCCUACAAUGUUAAUGUCCCCACAUGUCCCCCACGGCUUCCGCGGCCACUGACACAGAGAAUGAGACCUACAUAAAAUAUAAACCCACAUCGAUCUAUUGUGUUAUAAAUUGCUAAAAAGACUCCGAACUGACAAUGAUUUUUAGUUUGAGACAAUCUUUUCCUCCUCGUAAUUAAUACUCCUCUCGAGAAUUGUGGGUUUGAACGUUUGGGAAUUAUUGGAAAAGAAGGUUCUGCCCUCGCCGCAGCUCGGUGGGAUGUCUUUCCUAAAAAAUGAGACGUCUUCAUCAAAACAAUGACUUGAUGUGUCCAUUUGUUAUAUAAGUACUUCUCAUUUGGCUGGGCUGACGACUCCAUCAGACAGAGAAUGUUGGAAUUGAUACGAUUGUACUUUUCUCUGCGACUCUUUUUUUAAAACAAACAUUGGACACACUUCAUACUCAGCCAAAACAGUGUCUCGGGUGCAACGGGAAAGUAUCAAAUUGCAAGAAAAGACUGGGAUAAAGUGGUUUUUGGCAAGUACUUAUUUUGACCUGCAAGAAAUGCAAGGCGUUAGAAACUACUUCCCACCGCUAUAAAUACAGAUACUUCAUAUCUUCGGUUGGCUAGAUAGCACAUAUUUCUUGCACUUUCUCCCAGUUUCUUGCACCUCGUAUUUCUUGUUUGGUACAAGAAGCAUGGUACAAAUCUUAAUUAAAAUAAGUAUGCUCUUCAUGAACAAAAUAAGAAAUGUGGAUGGAAAGAUUAUGGAUACCACGCAUUUGCAUAUUUUUUUAGAAUUAUAUCAUUGUUUCCUUUUGUGGAUUGUAAGAUUUUUAGAGUUUUGAGUGAUUUCGACGUCAUUUUAGAAAAUAGAGUGAUUUUUAUAAUACUAAAUUACUAUGCAGAUUUUUUAUGUCCGUAUUCCAAGAUUUUUUGGAAUUUUGAAAUAAGGGAAAGAAAGUGGUUUUUUACAGGUAAAUAUUUCGACCUGCAAGAAAUGCAAGGCGUAAAAAACUAUGCCCUGCCGCUAUAAAUACUUCAUACGGCGCGCAAAUUUCUUGCACUUUCUCCCACUUUCUUGCACCUCGAAUUUCUCUCAUUUCUUCCUUCCCACUGCAAGAAAUGCAGCAAAACCCGCAAGCAACGAGACGAAACCCCUCGCCAAAAGUUGAAAUUGAAUUGUUUUAGACUGCCCAAAAUUUUUGGGAGAAGACCAAACUAAACGGUGAAGUGAAAGAAAGAAACCUGGAAGAAAAAGAAGACAAAACAAAACCAAGAUCAAAUAAACGUCUCGUGAAACUCAACCUGGUCUGUUCUCUUACAUAACGAAGGCUGCCUUACUUUACUCUAAAGUUUAGAGUCUAAACGAAGAAUAUGAGACAUUUUACGGUAAGGUUUUGUUGUCUCGUCUGUGUAGAAUUUUGGAAAGUCAAGUAGCCGAGAGAGCGAGGCGAGGGAGCUAAAAGCUAAUGAGACCUAAUGAAUCAUUGUCACAACGGAUGAAAAUAAAUCUAUUAUGCUUCGAUGCUUAUGUAUUUUCACGAAAUAAAUAUUCCUGCUUACAGAUUUAUGUAACCAGAUUUAUGUAAAAAAAAACAUAAAUAAAUUAUGCAAUGUUAAAA